rnacentral:lncRNA from 1 species
CUGGUGACUAUGGAAAAUGAAAGCAAGUUCACGCUGACAAUGCCCGUAAAGAGCUUUGUGAAGCCAUGACAGUGCUCUUCAAUUUUAACAUGAAGAAGAGGGCAUGUGAGUUAGCAAGACUGGCCAGAGGCCAGAGCCCGGGGCCAGCAAACCUUUCCCUGCUGUGAGGUGGGCAAGUUAGUUGCUCCAAAAACAAGAUAAAAUGAUUGAGUUCUUUUCUCAAGCGGGAGUCGGAGUUUAUCUGCUCUGAGAUGCUCCAGAUGGUUUUCUUACAGAGAAACUUCAUUUCAUGCUUGCAGUUGUUUAUUCCCAUGCAUCUAACUCUCGGCCAGGCACUGAAACAGAGCCCCAGCAGCUACUAUUAAUGAGUGUCUGGAAUAUGUUCCUGGCAUUUCACCUACCCUCUCUCCAAUCCUUCCAAGAAACUCACAAAGCAGGGCUUUUUCUUGAACUUCUCUUCCUCACAACAGUUAAAUCAUCCAUUUAAAGAUGUCAAACAACCUCCGUGUUCUAAGGACACAGCAUGUACAACCUCACAUAGAGUUCCUGACCAGACAAGACUUGCUGGAAAUUUCCCAGGAUCUUCCUUCCUUAAGUUUGAAUAGCUCUCUGGUUCCAGUUUGAAGCUGAAAAGGUUAAAUUCUACCUGAAGGAUGAAAACAACCAACAUUCUGUGCCAAGACAGUCAGGAGGGCAACCAUGUUUCCUGGUGGAGCCUCUGGAACCACUCAAGCCAAGAUGACCGGGGGUUUGGCUGGGAGGAGAUGGGGAAACUACAGACCCUACAGAUGGUUUCCUGUACCAUGAGGUUAAGCCUGGGGGCAGGAGAGGCUGUACCUUAGUUCCUUCAUCUGUAAAAUAAAGUAACAUAGUACCUACCUCA